GACAGAGGUGGCGAGCGUUGUUCGGAAUUACUGGGCGUAAAGCGCGCGUAGGCGGUGGAGUAAGUCAACGGUGAAAUCCCUCAGCUUAACUGAGGAACAGCCGCUGAAACUGCUUCGCUAGAGACCGGGAGGGGAAGGCGGAAUUCUCGGUGUAGCGGUGAAAUGCGUAGAGAUCGGGAGGAACACCAGUGGCGAAGGCGGCCUUCUGGAACGGUUCUGACGCUGAGGCGCGAAAGCGUGGGGAGCAAACAGGAUUAGAUACCCGUGUAGU
rnacentral:rRNA from 1 species